GGGGGUGUGGCUCAGUGGGAAGCACUUGCCUCACAUGUAAGAGGUCCUGGGUUCUAUCUCCAGUAUGACCC
rnacentral:tRNA from 1 species